GAUAACCUUUUACUCCAAAUACAAAAUGUUCAAUCCCAUCAUCAAAAUUCAUCAUUCAUCAUCUCAAUUCAAAGGAGUAUUUUUAAAGAAAUUCUAAAGAAACAAUGCUGCAAGCCUCUAGCCAAUAAAAAUAUCUCAAGCAAAGAUCAUAACUUGCAACAAAAGUCCAUAUCUGAUUCACAAGGACAAAUUAUCUAGCGG
rnacentral:lncRNA from 1 species